AUUUAAAUUGACCCUACUCACAUCUUUUUUUAGUUAUUUAGUGUUAAUUUCGUUACCAGUUUUCUUUCUCUCUCUGGCCUAGGAACUGUCAAAAUGGUAAAUUCGUGAUUUUAAGGUAGAUUUAUCAUAUUAAGGUACUCAGUUCAUUACAAGUGAGAUUUUCUUCAGUAACCUGCUUUUUUCACAUCAAAAUACCCCCAUUUUCUUUGUAAAAUAUCAGUUAUGGGGUAUGGCUUGGUCAGUUCGCUAAGUUGUUUCUCACAUUUUACAUUCUGUCUACAGGAAACUUCAGCCAUUCAAUUUUAUUAACCAUUAUUCUAUUAUUACUGAUCCAGAGACCCUUUUUCCUGAAGAAACUACCAGUAUUAUUGGUUAUCAGUGGAAUUUUCUUCAUCGUAAACUUUGAAGGCUGGAAUGAGAACAUUUAAUCCAAGGCCUGGGAUAUGCUGUCAGUAGGAUCUCGUCAAUAUCAUUUAUGGUAUUAGGUCAGAGAAACCUAUAUAGACGCCUAGGUGAAUCGAAGGUGGAGGUGGCCAUUCAGUUGCUGUGCUGUUUGACAGCAAAGGGAAAAAACUUAUAUUGAACUGCAGGGACCUUGCACAAACCAUUGGCUCAUUGGAAUGGAGGAAGGCUAAACAAGGAUCCAUGCUAUGAUACAAGAAGGGAAAGAGAAAGUUGGAUGACUGGCUGAAUUCUUUUCUGUUGAAUAAGGAUGGA